rnacentral:lncRNA from 12 species
UUCUGACCACUCUCCCCCCGCCCGGUGCGCGUCCCAAAGAGGAUCCGGUGUUAUCUGCUUGGGCGGAUUCCAGUUCAUCUCAAAACCGCGGCUACUGCCAGCAGUAGUAGUGAGUAGCCGCCAGCCUCUGAUUUCCCCUUCAACGAACGCACUGUGAGCUCUUCCUCGGUACCAGGAGCGGUCUGGACUCCGACCACCGCGGCAGACAGGCCCUGACCCCGGGAGCAGGCCAGGUGGAGGCGGACGCCACAGAGGACGGUCUCCUGACCCGCGACAAGAUCCCCCUGCACCGAUGCAAAGCGCGGCCCUGACCAGACCUCGAGCAGGGACAGGAGGGAAGGAAAGGCCACCAGAAGUGACCCCGAGGACUCCUCAGCGGCCAGCGGGAAGGCAUGUUGCUUGGUAGGAAUGGGGAUGAACCGUGAGAUGCCGACGUCUCCCUCAGCUCGAAGGUUUCAUGUGCACAUGCUGCACUGUCCCACGUGGAUUAAGAGGACACUGCCCCCUCGCCCCUGCCUCCCAGCCUCUGACUGAAAGACUCUUGCUCCGUCUAGAG